UACGUAUGGAGCAAGCGUUAUCCGGAUUUACUGGGUGUAAAGGGUGCGUAGGUGGCAGUGCAAGUCAGAUGUGAAAGGCCGGGGCUCAACCCCGGAGCUGCAUUUGAAACUGCUCGGCUAGAGUACAGGAGAGGCAGGCGGAAUUCCUAGUGUAGCGGUGAAAUGCGUAGAUAUUAGGAGGAACACCAGUGGCGAAGGCGGCCUGCUGGACUGUUACUGACACUGAGGCACGAAAGCGUGGGGAGCAAACAGGAUUAGAUACCCUGGUAGUGGCUACGACU
rnacentral:rRNA from 1 species